rnacentral:rRNA from 1 species
CAGCAGCCGCGGGAAAACCGAGGGUGCGAGCGUUAAUCGGAAUUACUGGGCGUAAAGCGUGCGUAGGUGGUGGUUUAAGUCCGUUGUGAAAGCCCUGGGCUCAACCUGGGAAUUGCAGUGGAUACUGGGUCACUAGAGUGUGGUAGAGGAUAGUGGAAUUUCCGGUGUAGCAGUGAAAUGCGUAGAGAUCGGAAGGAACAUCUGUGGCGAAGGCGACUAUCUGGGCCAACACUGACACUGAGGCACGAAAGCGUGGGGAGCAAACAGGAUUAGAUACCCCUGUAGUCCCUGUCUCUUAUAC